UUUGAUGUGAAGCCUUUCGAUAUCUCGAACAAGCAGGAGUUGCACUGCGUGUUUAAGAGAAGAAAGUGCAGUGUUUAGUGAAUAAGAGUUAACCACAACAUAACAUAACACUUUUUUUUUUUAAUAGAUUUGAAACUGAUCAGUGUAGAACGACGUUGCUCUUAAAAACUUUUGUAAAUUUGGGUGGUGUGCUAGUAGUUAUCCAAAAGUGUCUGCACGAUGUGUGCCUAGAAACCUGUUCCUGGAUCAUAAGAGUGCAAGAAUUGGGAAUCAGCUUCGAUCACUUGCCGCGGUGCGAGAGAGAAGGAAAUAGGUUCUUAUUCAGAAUUAUCACAGGCAAUGAGACCUGUGUGCCCCACUAUAUCCUAGAAUCUAAGGCCGCCUCAAUGACGAACGCCUCCAUUGACAAGCUAGGAAAAGAUUCAAAGUGUCACACUAGUUGGGAAAGUUUAUGGCCACGCCGUUCUGGGACGCGAAAGGUGCGAUUCUCCUUGAUUUCCUCCAGCAAGGGACCAUCAGUGCGGAACACUGCUGCGAUACCCUCACUCAGACUUGGUCCGCGCCAUUUGACGAAACAGACCAAGGGCUCUGGAGUGAAUAUGUUGGAUAACAACGCAAAACUACUUAUGGCCAAGAUUCGUCGCUUCGGUUGGUAAAAUUUGGAUAAUAUGGCCUAUAGCCCCGAUAUUGCACCAGCGGACUUUCACUGGCCCCUGCACUGAAAGACGCGCUCUCGGGACUUUAGUUUCAAACUAAUGCUGAGGUGGAGUGGAUUGUGCAACAUGUCCUUGCAUCCCAGGGCACCGAACUUUAACAGUGUGGCUUUUUAAAAACUGAUUUCACCCUUACGACAUGUGUCGGUGGCGACUACGUCGUAAAUUAGUGCAAGGUGUAUAGGUCGUGAUGCCAUGGUGUAUUUGCUUUUGCCGAUAAGAUGUCCGUGUGAAACAGUGACGAAACUUACUUUCGGAACGCCCCACGCAUGAUACGAACAAAACUGCACAAUAUUUUAAGGUGUGUGAAGUAGUUGUAGCAGAGAAGCAAUUACGGAAACUCGCAGCGUAACACUCACAAGAAUAAUACACAGGAGCGCAGUAGACGAAACAUAACAGUACUUUGUGCUCCCCUUAAUAUGAAGUGUGAAUAUUCGAGAUUAACCGUGUUGAAUAUGUAUCGGGAACCCCUCUUGCUAUUAGUGAAAUUGUUUUGUGUCGUUAUUUGAAAUUGUAUUGUUUCUGCUUGAUGGUAACAGCUAAUUCAGUGUAGGUAUUUCAUGUACACACAUUUAAGGUACACAUCAUGGCAGGCCUGUGCUGCAAAAUGCAAAAGUCUCUCAGAAUCAGUUAAUGAAAGACAUUGCUUAAUAACCCUGACAGUGUUUUAUCAGGGCAUCAUGUCAGUAGGCAGAUGAAUUACAAUUAAAUUGCAUCUCUUUACACAAAAACACAUUAAGCCUGGUAUUGGCAUGACAAUAUUGCAUUAAAGUUUAGAAUAUUAUUAAAAAUAGAUGAGCUGCUAUCUAAAUCAUAUAGGCUAAUGCUUAUUCAAAAACAUGGAAGUCUACAUAACUAUCUUGCAGAAGUACAAAGAUCUUAUUAAAUAGGCUAAUUUUAUGCCCUAAAAUCAUAGUUAUUAAUUUUUACUGUGAAGUACUUCUGGGGUGAAAGAAAGUGUAAUCAAUAAAUAACACUAUUCCAGUGCCCAAAGAUGGUCUUCUUGCAGUGUUAUCCCAUGAGGUAAAUACUUAGGCCAUUUUUUUUUUCCCCCUGAAACUGUGCUGUUCUGCUGAUGAGUAUGUUUGUGAAGAACAAUCUAGCCAUACGAAACAAAUGGAUGUUGUGCACAUCAUCACAGGUUACUAACAGCCAACAGCAGUAAAUAUGAAUGCUACUGGCAAGAGACUACUUGCACAGCCAUAAACACCCAGUCUGACAAAAGCCGUAUCUCUCUUCCCAUUGCAUCCCAUAUAUCUUUAUUAAUGAAAAUAUGUGUGUGAGACAGACCUGCAGAAUAAGUAUAAUUUCAUAUGAAACAGUACAAGCAAAACAAAAUACUGCAGCUUGGGCAAAUUCAGUCAUAUUAAAGAAAAGUCUUUUAGUAUGCUGUGUUAAACAUCAGGAACCUCACUACUACAGGGAACACUUCUUGUAGCAAUACCAGUAUAGGAAAAUUAAAGGGCAGGUAAAUUGCAUAUGUUGUGCAUAUAGUAACAACACUUGGAAAUCAUUGGAAUGGGACAGUUUCAUGUUGAUGGGUCAAAGCUAACAUUUUCUGGUGUAGAACCAGUGUGAAGAAAGGGGGGAUGAAGUUGAAUCCUAGGCUAUUCAGGUUGAUGAAUGUUGUUUUAAACAGCUCUUUGAAUGUUGUUCCCCAAUAGUGGACCAGGAAACAUGCAAGCUUAUGGUACUGGCAAGAUAUGUCUUAAGCUUCAUAAAGCAACUUCGUGAUAGUUUUGAUUAGGUCAUCCAGACAUCAAUGAUUCUGGAGAUUUUAAUGGAGAUUUUCUGUCAAAUGGUUCAAAUGGCUCUGAGCACAAUGGACUUAACAGCUAUGGUCAUCAGUCCCCUAGAACAUAGAACUACUUAAACCUAACUAACCUAAGGACAUCACACAACACCCAGGCAUCACGAGGCAGAGAAAAUCAAUGACGCCGCCUGGAAAAUCGAACCCGGGCGUGGGAAGCAAGAACGCUACACGCACGACCAUGAGCUGCGGCCAUUUUCUGUCAGAUAGUACUGAUAGACUACCUCUUUGUUGAUGUCAGGCUUUGGAUUCUUAACCUAAGUAAAGCUCCCUUGAAGAACUCAGGGACGUAGUGCAAUAGUCGUUGACAGAUUCUUCGUAGACACAACCACCUUCAAUGAUUAGCCAGUAGUUGUAUUAAAAAUGUGACAAUGGUGGUCAUAUGUCAACAGUAAAAUUUAUGAAUUAUUUAUGUAUAGAUUAGAGAAGAAAAUGAUUGUUGCCUAUUACAGAACCAUAAACAAUAAUUUACACACAGUGUUGAAAUAUAAACUCCAGAUAGAAUGUUGGGAAGAGGUUAAUGAAAACAGGCAUAGUUUAUGGAAAAUUUUAAUGGUUUCCUAACAUGUCCAUACACUUUGAGUCGUGUUAGUUCUAAAACAGCAUACAAUUAAAUAGAAGCAAGGAUAAAGGAUACAUUUAGUCCAAGGAUGAAGGUAUCUUCUGUAAGAAAGUGAGAGUGCUACCUAAUUCAGAAGACAAACUGUAAAGAGUUGAAGCUCUGUUACUGACAGUAUUGUAACAUCCUCUGGGCAUUUUGCUUAACUAGUUUUAUUCUUGCUGUUUGAGGAUUGCUCAGUAUGAUGUGCCACCCACUCCAUUCACAGCAUCACAAGUGUUGGAAUGUUGGUGCCCAAACGUUAUUGGCUGUAAAGAGAUGUUGAGAUUCACCGAUGGUAUUGCAAUUUUGUCAGAGAUAGCAAAGGGAAUGGAAGAGCACUUGAACGGAAUGGACAGUGUCUUGAAAGGAGGAUAUAAGAUGAACAUCAACAAAAGCAAAUCGAGGAUAAUGGAAUGUAGUCGAAUUAAAUCGGGUGAUGCUGCCGUAAUUAGAUUAGGAAAUGAGACACUUAAAGUAGUAAAUGAAUUUUGCUAUUUGGGGAGCAAAAUAACUGACGAUGGUCGAAGUAAAGAGGAUAUAAAAUGUAGAUUGGCAAUGGCAAGAAAAGCGUCUCUGAAGAAGAGAAAUUUGUUAACAUCAAGUAUAGAUUUAAGUGUCAGGAAGUCAUUUCUGAAAGUAUUUGUAUGGAGUGUAGCCAUGUAUGGAAGUGAAACAUGGACGAUAAAUAGUUUGGACAAGAAGAGAAUAGAAGCUUUCGAAAUGUGGUGCUACAGAAGAAUGCUGAAGAUUAGAUGGCUAGAUCACGUAACUAAUGAGGAGGUAUUGCAUAGUUCUGGGUAGAAGAGAAAUUUGUGGCACAACUUGACUAGAAGAAGGGAUCGGCUGGUAGGGCAUAUUCUGAAGCAUCAAGGGAUCACCAGUUUAGUAUUGGUGGCAGUGUGGAGGGUAAAAAUCAUAGAGGGAGACCAAGAGAAGAAUACAAUAAAAAGAUUCAGAAGGAGAUGGAGUAGUGCAGCAGGUACUGGGAGAUGAAGCAGCUUGCACAGGAUACAGUAGCAUGGAGAGCUGCAUCAAACCAGUCUGUGGACUGAAGACCAUAACAACAACAUAGAUGUUGACCACAAUGUUUGAGGGUGCUGGUGCUACUGAUGUGACUCUGACAAAAGGCAUACAAUUUGUUGUGAGCCAGUGGAUCCCUGUGAGCCAGCUCAUACUCCAAUGAUGUUGAUGAUUUGUGAUGAGAUGAAGAAGUGGGAUCAGAUGCCGCCACCAUACCACUGAUUUAUUCAGGCAUGGCAGAGUUUUUACAUGAAAAUGUUCGGGGAAUUAGUGCCGCCGCAUCUCUUGUCUGCGUCCGCACAUGGACUUUUUUAUUUUAUUUGCUGCAGUUCACAAAUAACUGAACCUAGUGAUCAAAUUGUGCAUUUAUGUAAUGUGAAGUUGUUAUUGUUGUAACAAAAUUUUAACAAUGCUGAAGCUUUUAUACAUGUAAACACAAAACUAACUGGGAAAUAAAAGUGCUGAAAAUUAACAA